AAACUCUGGUUUCUCUUCAGAGCCUAUAAAUCUUUUGCCUUUUACUAAAGAUUUCAGUGGAGAGGAACAACUGAUCUUAAACCAAUUUUUUAAGGCCUUGUUUCAGCAAGGCU
rnacentral:snRNA from 1 species